UUGGGCCUACGGGACGCAGCAGGGAAUCUUCCACAAUGGGCGAAAGCCUGAUGGAGCAACGCCGCGUGGGUGAAGAAGGUCUUCGGAUCGUAAAACCCUGUUGUUAGAGAAGAAAGUGCGUGAGAGUAACUGUUCACGUUUCGACGGUAUCUAACCAGAAAGCCACGGCUAACUACGUGCCAGCAGCCGCGGUAAUACGUAGGUGGCAAGCGUUAUCCGGAUUUAUUGGGCGUAAAGGGA
rnacentral:rRNA from 1 species